rnacentral:lncRNA from 1 species
CGCCCGCCGGGCUGCGAUCCCGCCGUCCUUCUACGCGGCUGCCGCCGCCUCUGGCCGCCCGGGACGGCGCCUUCCCACAGCCGGAAGUCAGUCCCGCUGGCCCCGCGCCGCCUUCGCACUGUCCCCCAAGGCCACGGCUGCCCCCGCCCUCCCCGGGGCUUUUUGUUUUUUACGCCAGCCCCAUUUAUCACUUCCAACCUGCCUAUCGCCCGGCACCAACUGUUGCAAGUUCCGUAAUAACUGCUGCUAUGAACUUCUCCGUCGAAACUGCUCCUCCCCAGAGCCUGUUUAAGAAGCAGAAAUAAGAAUAAAUUCCCGGAUGCCGGUGGAUGCACUGACCUCUAAGAUUUUCAAAGGUGAAGUGGAUACACGUUAUUAAGUCAUUGGGAGACAUCGCCAACAUUGGGAAACCUAGUAAAAAGUGGAAAUCGAGCGUUUUAAAUAAAAAAAAAAAAAGGUUUCUACUAGCAAGACUGAUCGUAGGCGAACUUCUCAAGGAAUUUUGGAAUAUUGUGCCAAAGUGAGAAUAUUUAAUAUUUCCAAAAGUAGACUUAACUAGGAAUACUUAAAGCAGAGACUAUUGGAAAUGCUUUAAUUUGGGAUUUCAGGAAAGGGCUUGAAGAGAAAUAUUUUAUAUGAGCAAGCCUCUUGGAAUAAUUGAAUCACCUUAAUUUUGUCACUGUUACUUCGAAGAGAACGAGAAGAGAGAAGAUGGGAAACGAAAGGAGAAAGGGAAAAGAAAUGGGGUGGAAAGAAAAAAGCAGAAGAGAUCGCCCUAUACCAGUAGGCCUAGUACCCUAGGAUUCUGGCCUCUUUCUCCCACCUUUGGUGUUUAAGAUUAAGGACAGUGCAUUCCUGCUUUUAGAAAUUUAAAUUUAAGUUUGAAGACUUAAUUUUAAUUACUGUAGUAGGUAAAGCAAAGUCGUUAAAUACUUGACAUCAGGAUCCCAUUGGAGUAUUGAUUUAGGUCUUUUCAAAGGUGGUGGUCCUGGUUCUCUGCACCAGCCACUGGCGGAAUGGCGGAAUGGUGUAUCUACCAAUGAACAGAUGGACUGGGUGGGCCUCGGGUACGGGUGGCUUGAGAUGCAAAUGCAAGGGUAGGAAGGCACCUUCCCCCCCACCACUCCCAGCCCACCCCGCCAAUCUUAAAACAUUGAUCUUUAUAAAAUUCGCAAACGUCCCACAGGAUUUCAUUGGCUUAAGAGUAUUGUCAAAUGAAGACGCCAGGAAGUAUUGAGUUUCUGGGUACAUAAUACUGUCCUGAGUGUUGAAGGAAGAGGACUAAUACGAGAUUUUAAAAAAUGGCUGUGGACAACCAUCCUUCAGGUGUGAUGGCAGGACAUCUUGUAUCACCUGAAACUUCCUUUUUUCGCCGCUAGGUGGUGGGUGUGAGUCUUUUGCGGCCUUUAAGUUUCUACGGUGUUUGGAGGAAAUACGUUUCAGUUUCAAAUAAAUGAACAACGUGUAACUCUAAGAUGAGUAAAUAAUCAAUGUGUUUUCCAACCACCCCAAGUUAAUUUGUUUAAAAAACAAUCAAACC